UACAGAGGUCCCAAGCGUUGUUCGGAUUCAUUGGGCGUAAAGGGUGCGUAGGCGGCGCGGUAAGUCGGGUGUGAAAUCUCGGGGCUUAACUCCGAAACUGCAUUCGAUACUGCCGUGCUUGAGGACUGGAGAGGAGACUGGAAUUUACGGUGUAGCGGUGAAAUGCGUAGAUAUCAGGAGGAACACCUAUGGCGAAGGCAGCUCGCUGGGACGGUACUGACGCUGAGGCGCGAAAGCGUGGGGAGCGAACAGG
rnacentral:rRNA from 1 species